CUAGUACGAGAGGAACCGUUGAUUCGCACAAUUGGCACGCGCUUGGUUGAAAAGCCAGUGGCGCGAAGCUACCGUGCGUUGGAUUAUGACUGAACGCCUCUAAGUCAGAAUCCGGGCUAGACCGACGCAUGCGCUCGUCGCCCGUUUGCCGACCCCAGUAGGGGCCAUUUGCCCCAAGGGCACGUGUCGUUGGCUAAGCCGUCGUGGCGGAAGGGUCACGGUGCCGCCUUGAAUUACAAUUCGAUCGAGCGGCGAGCUGAAUCCUUUGCAGACGACUUAAAUACGCGACGGGGUAUUGUAAGGGUAGAGUGGCCUUGCUGCCACGAUCCUCUGAGAUUCAGCCCUUUGUCGCUCCGAUUCGU
rnacentral:ncRNA from 1 species